ACUCAAUAGAUACCCGGGUAGUCCACGCCCUAAACGAUGUCGACUGGUUGUUGGGGGUUUGACACUCUCAGUAAACGAAAGCUAAACGCGUGAAGUCGACCGCCUGGGGAGUACGGCCGCAAGGUUAAACUCAAAGGAAUUGACGGGGACCCGCACAAGCGGUGGAUUAUGUGGAUUAAUUCGAUGCAACGCGAAAAACCUUACCUACCCUUGACAUGUCCGAGAGCCCGGUGAGAGCUGGGUGUGCCCGAAAGGGAAUCGGAACACAGGUGCUGCAUGGCUGUCGUCAGCUCGUGUCGUGAGAUGUUGGGUUAAGUCCCGCAACGAGCGCAACCCUUGUCAUUAGUUGCUACAUUCAGUUGGGCACUCUAAUGGGACUGCCGGUGACAAACCGGAGGAAGGUGGGGAUGACGUCAAGUCCUCAUGGCCCUUAUGGGUAGGGCUUCACACGUAAUACAAUGGCGCGUACAGAGGGUUGCCAAGGGGCGACCUGGAGCCAAUCCCUUAAAGCGCGUCGUAGUCCGGAUUGCAGUCUGCAACUCG
rnacentral:rRNA from 1 species